AGCGAACGCUGGCGGCAGGCCUAAUACAUGCAAGUCGAACGGCUCUUCGGAGCAGUGGCGGACGGAUGAGUAACGCGUGGGAAUGUGCCCUUAGGUACGGAACAACACAGGGAAACUUGUGCUAAUACCGUAUGUGCCCUUCGGGGGAAAGAUUUAUCGCCUUUGGAGCAGCCCGCGUUGGAUUAGGUAGUUGGUGAGGUAAAGGCUCGCCAAGCCGACGAUCCAUAGCUGGUCUGAGAGGAUGACCAGCCACACUGGGACUGAGACACGGCCCAGACUCCUACGGGAGGCAGCAGUAGGGAAUCUUGCGCAAUGGGCGAAAGCCUGACGCAGCCAUGCCGCGUGUAUGAUGAAGGUCUUAGGAUUGUAAAAUACUUUCACCGGGGAAGAUAAUGACGGUACCCGGAGAAGAAGCCCCGGCUAACUUCGUGCCAGCCGCCGCCGUAAGAC
rnacentral:rRNA from 1 species